AGCUUUGCGCAGUGGCGAUAUCGUAACCAAUGAGGUACAACCGAGGUGCGAUUAUUGCUAGUUGAAAACUAAUACCAAUACCCCGCCGCGCAACCUCUCCCAGCCCCUCACAAGCUACCGAUUCAUUGGCACACGCUUAAAUGA